GAUGAACGCUGGCGGCGUGCCUAAUACAUGCAAGUCGAGCGAACAGACGAGGAGCUUGCUCCUCGGACGUUAGCGGCGGACGGGUGAGUAACACGUGGAUAACCUACCUAUAAGACUGGGAUAACUUCGGGAAACCGGAGCUAAUACCGGAUAAUAUAUUGAACCGCAUGGUUCAAUAGUGAAAGACGGUUUUGCUGUCACUUAUAGAUGGAUCCGCGCCGCAUUAGCUAGUUGGUAAGGUAACGGCUUACCAAGGCAACGAUGCGUAGCCGACCUGAGAGGGUGAUAGGCCACACUGGAACUGAGACACGGUCCAGACUCCUACGGGAGGCAGCAGUAGGGAAUCUUCCGCAAUGGGCGAAAGCCUGACGGAGCAACGCCGCGUGAGUGAUGAAGGUCUUCGGAUCGUAAAACUCUGUUAUUAGGGAAGAACAAAUGUGUAAGUAACUAUGCACGUCUUGACGGUACCUAAUCAGAAAGCAACGGCUAACUACGUG
rnacentral:rRNA from 1 species